rnacentral:rRNA from 1 species
UACGUAGGGGGCUAGCGUUAUCCGGAAUCAUUGGGCGUAAAGAGCGUGUAGGCGGCCCGGUAAGUCCGCUGUGAAAGUCGGGGGCUCAACCCUCGAAUGCCGGUGGAUACUGUCGGGCUAGAGUGCGGAAGAGGCGAGUGGAAUUCCUGGUGUAGCGGUGAAAUGCGCAGAUAUCAGGAGGAACACCAAUUGCGAAGGCAGCUCGCUGGGACGUAACUGACGCUGAGACGCGAAAGCGUGGGGAGCAAACAGG